GAUGAACGCUGGCGGCGUGCCUAAUACAUGCAAGUCGAGCGAACGGACGAGAAGCUUGCUUCUCUGAUGUUAGCGGCGGACGGGUGAGUAACGCGUGGAUAACCUACCUAUAAGACUGGGAUAACUUCGGGAAACCGGAGCUAAUACCGGAUAAUAUUUUGAACCGCAUGGUUCAAAAGUGAAAGACGGUCUUGCUGUCACUUAUAGAUGGAUCCGCGCUGCAUUAGCUAGUUGGUAAGGUAACGGCUUACCAAGGCAACGAUGCAUAGCCGACCUGAGAGGGUGAUCGGCCACACUGGAACUGAGACACGGUCCAGACUCCUACGGGAGGCAGCAGUAGGGAAUCUUCCGCAAUGGGCGAAAGCCUGACGGAGCAACGCCGCGUGAGUGAUGAAGGUCUUCGGAUCGUAAAACUCUGUUAUUAGGAAAGAACAUAUGUGUAAGUAACUGUGCACAUCUUGACGGUACCUAAUCAGAAAGCCACGGCUAACUACGUG
rnacentral:rRNA from 1 species